CUCUACGGCCAUACCAACCUAAACACACCCAAUCUUGUCUGAUCUCAGAACCUAAGCAGGGUUGGGCCUGAUUAGUACUUGGAUGGGAGCACAGGUUAUUCUAAAGA
rnacentral:rRNA from 1 species